UCGAGGAUCUUCGGCAAUGGGCGCAAGCCUGACCGAGCGACGCCGCGUGUGCGAUGAAGGCCUUCGGGUUGUAAAGCACUGUCGAGGGGGAGAAAAGCCGAAAGGUUUGAUCUAUCCCUGGAGGAAGCACGGGCUAAGUUCGUGCCAGCAGCCGCGGUAAGACGAACCGUGCGAACGUUGUUCGGAAUCACUGGGCUUAAAGGGCGCGUAGGCGGCUCAUCAAGUCCGGGGUGAAAGCCCCCAGCUCAACUGGGGAAGUGCCUUGGAAACUGGUGAGCUCGAGGGAGGUAGGGGUCGAGGGAACUUCUGGUGGAGCGGUGAAAUGCGUUGAUAUCAGAAGGAACGCCGGUGGCGAAAGCGCUCGACUGGAUCUCUUCUGACGCUGAGGCGCGAAAGCUAGGGGAGCAAACGGGAUUAGAUACCCCCGUAGUCC
rnacentral:rRNA from 1 species